UAACUUGUUAAUUCUUUAAUAAUAAUGUAAAUGCUACAGUUUUAUGCAUUUUGAUUGAGACCAAGCUGACUAAAAAGUUAUAGCUAUUGAGUCAAAGGGUCCAUCGAUGCACCAAUGGUAUGAAAUUCUAUCAUCAAUUACAGAAAGGAAAAAGAUGAAAGGGAAGAGAGAGCAAGACAUAAUAAAGAAGUGGAAAAAUCAUAAAGAACUUUACUUUCAUAACAUGUUGCAGUCAAAAGAGGACAAGCAAGAUGGCUAAGCCUAAACGUAUGUACAACUAAAUCAUAAUCAAAGUUUUAAAUAUGGGUCUGCAUCCGUUACAAAUACCAAUAUGUUGAAGUUUUGUUAGUCACCAGAAUCACACCACGAUGACAAUUGAGAUUAUAUCAAUCCCAUUUGCCAAAAAUUGACUGUAACAUCAAGUUUUUGGGAUGUUUAAAACCUUAUCAUAAUGCAUCAAAUAAUGAGUCCAAAAGAACUCAAAAUUUCACCUUGUUGCUCUUGUUAUUUAUCCCUAAUUCUCCUUCAUCCAUCACUUCAUUCUUCUAAAAAACCAUGGAGGGUGCUGCAAAUCUAGCUGAGAAUGACUGAGAAAAACUAUCAGAGUCAGUGGAAUAACCAUCAUCGAAGUUCUUUAGAUAGGAACUUGGAUCAUAUUGGACAUUAACCACGUAUUUAGAGCAGAAAAUUCUCCUUUUUUCUCUCUUGAUCUUCCUCCACAACUUUCUCAAGCGCUUUAUCUUCAUUCUAGUCUCAUUUUUAUUAACACACACAAUAGGAUUGUAGCCAAUUCUCUCAUAACUUGGCCAACUAGUGCUGUUUUUUGUGGUGCCCAAACAAUGAAGAUUUUCAAGGUUCAUGAUGUUUACGACAAAUAUUCUAGGAAGCUUAUAAUGGUUUUAAGAGACCAAUGUGUUUAUAAUGCAUGAACCAAGACUAUUUAUAGUGUGACUGUAUGAACACACACCCCUCUCCUUUUUCUUCAACUUGUCAUUACCACCUCAGCAUGCACUUAAAAUAGGGUAGGAUCGACACAAACACUUUAAUGCUCUAAUCAUCU
rnacentral:lncRNA from 1 species